GACGAACGCUGGCGGCGUGCUUAACACAUGCAAGUCGAACGGAAAGGCCCUGCUUUUGUGGGGUGCUCGAGUGGCGAACGGGUGAGUAACACGUGAGUAACCUGCCCUUGACUUUGGGAUAACUUCAGGAAACUGGGGCUAAUACCGGAUAGGAGCUCCUGCUGCAUGGUGGGGGUUGGAAAGUUUCGGCGGUUGGGGAUCGACUCGCGGCUUAUCAGCUUGUUGGUGGGGUAGUGGCUUACCAAGGCUUUGACGGGUAGCCGGCCUGAGAGGGUGACCGGCCACAAGGGGACUAAGAGACGGCCCAGAAGCGUACGGGAGGCAGCAGUGGGGAAUAUUGCACAAUGGGGGGAAGCCUGAGGCAGCAACGCCGCGUGCGGGAUGACGGCCUUCGGGUUGUAAACCGCUUUCGCCGGUGACGAAGCGUGAGUGACGGUAAUGGGUAAAGAAGCACCGGCUAACUACGUG
rnacentral:rRNA from 1 species